rnacentral:rRNA from 1 species
GUGCCAGCAGCCGCGGUAAUUCCAGCUCCAAUAGCGUAUAUUAAAGUUGUUGUGGUUAAAAAGCUCGUAGUUGAACCUUGGGCCUGGCUGGCCGGUCCGCCUCACCGCGUGCACUGGUCCGGCCGGGCCUUUCCCUCUGUGGAACCCCAUACCCUUCACUGGGCGUGGCGGGGAAACAGGACAUUUACUUUGAAAAAAUUAGAGUGCUCCAGGCAGGCCUAUGCUCGAAUACAUUAGCAUGGAAUAAUAAAAUAGGACGCGCGGUUCUAUUUUGUUGGUUUAUAGGACCGCCGUAAUGAUUAAUAGGGACAGUCGGGGGCAUCAGUAUUCAACUGUCAGAGGUGAAAUUCUUGGAUCAGUUGAAGACUAACUACUGCGAAAGCAUUUGCCAAGGAUGUUUUCAUUAAUCAGGAACGAAAGUUAGGGGAUCGAAGACGAUCAGAUACCGUCGUAGUCUUAACCAUAAACUAUGCCGACUAGGGAUCGGACGGGUGUUAUUCAUGACCCGUUCGGCACCUUACGAGAAAUCAAAGUGCUUGGGCUCCAGGGGAGUAUGGGCGCAAGGCUGAAACUUAAAGAAAUUGACGGAAGGGCACCACCAGGGGGUGGAGCCUGCGACUUAAUUUGGACUCAACACGGGGGAAACUCACCAGGUCCAGACACAUAAAGAAUUGACAGAUUGAGAGCUCUUGCAUGAGUCUUGUGGGUGGUGUAGCAUAGGCCGUCUUAGUGGUGGGCUGACUUGUCUGCCUAAUGCGAUAACGAGCGAAGACUUACCUGCUAAUAGGCCGCAUUGCUUCGGCGAGGUGCCUGGCUACUAAGAAGACUUUACGUCAGGCCAAUGAGGUUAGAGCAUUAGACGGUCUAUGCAUG